rnacentral:rRNA from 1 species
UACCAGACUCCUACGGGAGGCAGCAGUGAGGAAUAUUGGUCAAUGGGCGAGAGCCUGAACCAGCCAAGUCGCGUGAGGGAUGACUGCCCUAUGGGUUGUAAACCUCUUUUGUAUGGGGGGAAUAAGCUUUACGAGUAGAGUGAUGACAGUACCAUACGAAUAAGCAUCGGCUAACUCCGUGCCAGCAGCCGCGGUAAUACGGAGGAUGCGAGCGUUAUCCGGAUUUAUUGGGUUUAAAGGGUGCGUAGGCGGCAUUAUAAGUUAGUGGUAAAAUAUUGGGGCUUCACCUCACUACGCCAUUAAUACUGUAGAGCUAGAGAACAGACGAGGUAGGCGGAAUAAGUUAAGUAGCGGUGAAAUGCAUAGAUAUAACUUAGAACACCGAUAGCGAAGGCAGCAUACCGGCGCCCAACUGACGCUGAAGCACGAAAGCGUGGGUAUCGAACAGGAUUAGAUACCCCCGUA